rnacentral:rRNA from 1 species
CGACCGGCGCACGGGUGCGUAACGCGUAUACAAUCUGCCUUAUACUGGGGUAUAGCCUUUAGAAAUGAAGAUUAAUCCCCAUAGCCUCUUUUAAUGGCAUCAUUAUAAGAGUAAAGGUUACGGUAUAAGAUGAGUAUGCGUUCUAUUAGUUUGUUGGUGAGGUAACGGCUCACCAAGACUGCGAUAGAUAGGGGCCUGAGAGGGGGAUCCCCCACACUGGUACUGAGACACGGACCAGACUCCUACGGGAGGCAGCAGUGAGGAAUAUUGGACAAUGGAGGCAACUCUGAUCCAGCCAUGCCGCGUGCAGGAAGACUGCCCUAUGGGUUGUAAACUGCUUUUAUACAGGAAGAAACCUUGGUACGUGUACCAAGCUGACGGUACUGUAAGAAUAAGGAUCGGCUAACUCCGUGCCAGCAGCCGCGGUAAUACGGAGGAUCCAAGCGUUAUCCGGAAUCAUUGGGUUUAAAGGGUCCGUAGGUGGAUAAUUAAGUCAGAGGUGAAAUCUUGCAGCUCAACUGUAAAAUUGCCUUUGAUACUGGUUAUCUUGAGUCAUUAUGAAGUAGUUAGAAUAUGUAGUGUAGCGGUGAAAUGCAUAGAUAUUACAUAGAAUACCAAUUGCGAAGGCAGAUUACUAAUAAUGUACUGACACUGAUGGACGAAAAGCGUGGGUAGCGAACAGGAUUAGAUACCCUGGUAGUCCACGCCGUAAACGAUGGUUACUAGCUGUGUGGACUUCGGUCUGCGUGGCUAAGCGAAAGUGAUAAGAACCCA